CCUACGGGUGGCUGCAGUGGGGAAUAUUGGACAAUGGGCGAAAGCCUGAUCCAGCAAUACCGCGUGUGUGAAGAAGGCCUGAGGGUUGUAAAGCACUUUCAAUAGGAAGGAAUACCUGCCGGUUAAUACCCGGUAGACUGACAUUACCUAUACAAGAAGCACCGGCUAACUCCGUGCCAGCAGCCGCGGUAAUACGGAGGGUGCAAGCGUUGGUCGGAAUUACUGGUCGUAGAGCGGUUCAAUCCGGCUUGAAAGCCCCGGGCUUAACCUGGGAACUGCAGUUGAUACUGGCAGGCUAGAGUUGAGUAGAGGAGAGUGGAAUUUCAGGUGUAGCGGUGAAAUGCGUAGAGAUCUGAAGGAACACCAGUGGCGAAGGCGGCUCUCUGGACUCAAACUGACGCUGAGGUACGAAAGCGUGGGUAGCAAACAGGAUUAGAUACCCUGGUAGUC
rnacentral:rRNA from 1 species